rnacentral:rRNA from 1 species
CAGUAGCCGCGAUAAUACGUAGGGUGCAAGCGUUAAUCGGAAUUACUGGGCGUAAAGCGUGCGCAGGCGGUUAUAUAAGACAGAUGUGAAAUCCCCGGGCUCAACCUGGGAACUGCAUUUGUGACUGUAUAGCUAGAGUACGGCAGAGGGGGAUGGAAUUCCGCGUGUAGCAGUGAAAUGCGUAGAUAUGCGGAGGAACACCGAUGGCGAAGGCAAUCCCCUGGGCCUGUACUGACGCUCAUGCACGAAAGCGUGGGGAGCAAACAGGAUUAGAUACCCCAGUAGUCCCUGUCUCUUAUAC